ACCGUGGCGACGAUGCGUAGGGGUUCUGAGAGGAAGGUCCCCCACACUGGUACUGAGACACGGACCAGACUCCUACGGGAGGCAGCAGUGAGGAAUAUUGGUCAAUGGGAGAGAUCCUGAACCAGCCAAGCCGCGUGAGGGAAGACGGCCCUAUGGGUUGUAAACCUCUUUUGUCGGAGAACAAAACCCGGGACGUGUCCCGGACUGCGUGUAUCCGAAGAAAAAGCAUCGGCUAACUCCGUGCCAGCAGCCGCGGUAAUACGGAGGAUGCGAGCGUUAUCCGGAUUUAUUGGGUUUAAAGGGUGCGUAGGCGGUCUGUUAAGUCAGCGGUAAAAUUGCGGGGCUCAACCCCGUCGAGCCGUUGAAACUGGCAGACUUGAGUUGGCGAGAAGUACGCGGAAUGCGCGGUGUAGCGGUGAAAUGCAUAGAUAUCGCGCAGAACUCCGAUUGCGAAGGCAGCGUACCGGCGCCAGACUGACGCUGAGGCACGAAAGCGUGGGGAUCGAACAGGAUUAGAUACCCUGGUAGUCCACGCAGUAAACGAUGAAUGCUGGUUGUCCGGGUCGAAUGAGACCUGGGCGGCGA
rnacentral:rRNA from 1 species